GAGUCAACCCUAAUGCUCUCAAUUCCCGCACACUAUGUUGUGUAGGCUUUGUUUUUUGCUCACCGACAACACCUAGUACAGGAAUAAGACUGACAUGAAUGAGGCAAAAGUUGUCUUGCCCAACUGUGAAAUACAAUUGUCGUAAAGCCUCAAUGAAGGGCAUCGAUUCAAUAUCACCUACAGUCCCCCCCAAUUCAAUGACACAAACAUCUGCAGGUCCCUCCUUCCCAUCCACAGGAGUCAGAGAUACCGACUCAAUCCAAUCCUUAAUAGCAUCAGUGAUGUGGGGAACCACCUGAACAGUUUUUCCA
rnacentral:misc_RNA from 1 species